UGAGAAGGCAAGAAAGAAACUUGUCACCUGGGACUCCAUUCCUGCUCUGGAGCCCUGCCAAGCACCCACUGGCUGAUGAGGCAUCUGAGAUACAAAGACAGGUACAAGGCACAGUGCCGAGUGCUGGAGGAAACAAAAAC
rnacentral:lncRNA from 1 species